rnacentral:lncRNA from 1 species
GGGAGGUGGAGGUUAUAGUGAGCUGAGAUCAUGCCACUGCACUUCAGCCUGGGCAGCAGCAAGACUCCGUCUCAAAAAAAAGAAAAAAAAAAGAAAUAUGCGAGCUGCUAAGCUAGGCAGUUCUGGCUCAAGAUCUCUCAUGAUACUGCAGACACCACACCAACGAGGACCCCAGUCCUCUGGCACUGGAGGACCCACUUAGAAGGCGGAUGACUCACAUGGCUCUUGGCAGGAGACCUCAGUUCCUCCCCACAUAGGCCUCCCUAUAGGACUGCUUGAGUGUCCCAUUUACCAAAUGAUCUAAAUAUGUUCCGGUUUUGAUUGGCUGCUCUGCAAUGUGGGCCGUUAUCUAGCUGAUUCGGUGGGGCUUGAAGUGUCAGUUCCUGCUGCAGGGAUGUUAUAUGGAACCUUUGGCAGGCCGCUACAGACGAAUCAUAAUAUAAACCUGUGCUAGUUAUUGAUUACGUCCCAGCUCCUGCGUUGCCUGCUCUGUGAAAUGGUUCUGGCCCUUUAGUUUUUCCUUUACCAGUUGGCAUGAUCUUAAGCUUUGUCAGUAGAGGGCGCUGGAGAGACAUUGCAGGAGACUGGAGUUUCCCUUCCUGCUUCUGGUGUGUUCUCUCUAGGCUCCGGCACGACGGGUGGCUUCUGCAGCACACAGGGCUUCGCCAGCACCCAGCUCCUGCAGCAUGGGCAGCUCCUGUGACAGCAGGCGCCCACAGCCUGCAAAGCGUCUCCAGUGCCGCCGCCUCAGUGAACCGCAACCAGCGGCACCUAGCAGCUUUCUCCGCCACCCUCUUCAGGUCUGGAUCUAAGCCCAGGGACCAGGAAACCUCUUGCUUGAGUGCUGGAACUCAGGCCAGAAGGUAUGGCUGCUGCUAUGUGCUGUGACCAGAGAAUCAGAGUUCUCUUUACUUCUUACCAGCCAACCUCUUGAAAAUGCCUUUUUGUUUUUUGUUUUUUUUGAGACGGAGUCUCGCUCUGUUGCCCAGGCUGGAGUGCAGUGGCUCACUGCAACCUCCGCCUCCUGAGUUCAAGUGAUUCCCCUGCCUCAGCCUCACGAGUAGGUGGGAUUACAGGCAUG